GGCCUUGCUCUUAUGUCAUCUGACUAAAGGUUUCAUAGACCAAAGAUAACCAUCCAACUUGUUGGAAUACUGAAACAAUUGCUGCCUGCUGUCCACACACCACAUAAAAUAUGUGGAUUUCGUAAAUUCUGCAAAAAAGGUUUGGAAGCUGAUCAAUCAAUACUGGAACUCCCUCUUCUCCAGAAGAGACAUCCUGGCCUCCAUGCAGAGGAAUGUGUGGAUGGACAUAUAUUUAAGGAAGACACUAAACCAGAAACUACUACAUUACACCCUCUUAGAAGACUUCUAAGAUUGUUGUCAUGCCUACCACAGACAUUCAGAUGAUGUGUAUUGUUGAUUGUGAUUUCAUGUUUGGACCUGAUGAAGGAGUUUGAAGUCUCCAGAGCAGCAAAGAGAGUGGGGAGUAGAACUCAUCAUCUUUAGGUCACUCAUCAUCG
rnacentral:lncRNA from 1 species